rnacentral:rRNA from 1 species
GGCGCACGGGUGCGUAACGCGUAUGUAACUUGCCCACUACAGGGGGAUAGCCCGGGGAAACCCGGAUUAAUACCCCAUAGUACAAUAGUCUCGCAUGGGAUUAUUGUUAAAGAUUUUAUCGGUAGUGGAUGGACAUGCGUCUGAUUAGCUAGUUGGUGAGGUAAAGGCUCACCAAGGCCACGAUCAGUAGGGGUUCUGAGAGGAUGAUCCCCCACACUGGUACUGAGAUACGGACCAGACUCCUACGGGAGGCAGCAGUAGGGAAUAUUGGGCAAUGGGUGAGAGCCUGACCCAGCCAUGCCGCGUGCAGGAAGACGGCCCUAUGGGUUGUAAACUGCUUUUGUAAGGGAAGAAAAAGGUCUUGCGAGACCCAUUGACGGUACCUUACGAAUAAGCACCGGCUAA